rnacentral:lncRNA from 1 species
CUUUUCAGACAGGUGAAGGCCGUCAUCCUUACUGGGAUGUGGUUGUUGUCUCGACGUUCAAGAUGAGAGCAUCUAUCUUCAAAUGAAUGUUGACUUAUAUAACAAGAUGAAUAUAUCCACAGGAAAGAACAAACAUAUUUAAAAACAAUGUGAACAACAAAACCUCCAAAGCUACAAAGACAUGAUUCUAAAACAGAGAAUACAGAUACUUGCAGCACAUUAAGACUGGAGUUUGACACCUUUGACAGCCGAGAGAUGUUAAUGAAUAACUAAAGGCAGAAAAUCGAAGCAAAAUAUACUUGAAAGCUGGAAUUCAAGGAAAAAUACAGUAUGAUCUACAAAAUGAAGUACCCAUAGACUUAAACGCGAAUGAUUAGAAGUCUAUUACAACUUUGAAAAAAACCUUGGUGAGGUAAGAAAAAGUUUAAAAAUUCAUGGUUUGAUGUUUGUUAUCAUCAGUAUUUCGAGCUGAAUGCUCAAACAUUUUGGAGGUUUUCUAGGAGUCUUUGUCGCUUGUCGAGGCAGGAAAAGUGCAGUUCCCAGACAGAAAAUUCUGUUUGAAAAUGCGCCAGACAACCAACCAGAACUCUCUACAAUUUUGUUUGCAGAAGCAAGGAAAGAGUUUGAUAAUUUCAAACAGUUUGUAUAUGACAUCAUCAGUGGUCUAAUCUCUCUCUUUUUUAUAAAUAUUUUUUCUUGCUUUGUUUUAAAGAAACAUUAGGAGAGGAGAAAGAAUCCAUAAAGAGUUUGAAGUUUACUUGAAGAACAACAUCAGAGAAGAGAUGUAACUAUGUAAGUCGUACAUUAUUGGUGACAAAAAAGAACUUCACCCUAAUUCGACCAGAUGUAUAUUUGUCACAUACACAAAUUUCUGUAGGGUCAUGCUUCAUCGCAUUGGUGAUUUAAUUAAUUAUUUUAUUUCCGUUUCUUCAGGAUGGUGCUGACAUUUUAGACGAAGGACAAUACCGCUUAGAGGAUUAUUGACUGCACUCCAUUCAGUUAAAUCAUUGCCCGUAAGUACCCAUUCAAUUAAUACCUCUUGUUAUUUCUGCGUAGUGAGUUAACUCAAGCUAUUGUCGGCUGAUUUGCCUUGAGGGAUUAUCGGGAAAAUACAAUGCUUCAGGCUGAUUCUGGCUGGGUAUUUCACAUGGUUUAAUACUUUUCAGACAGGUGAAGGCCGACAUCUUUACUGAGCCAUGAUUGUUGUCUUGACGUUCAAGAGGAGAGAAUUUGCCUUCAAAAUCAUGUUGACUUUGGGGCGGACCAUUAGAAAAAUGGGUGGGGCAAAUAAAAUCCCGCAGGGGAAACAGAAAGAGAGAAAAUCGUACAGCAAGGACGUUUGAGGAACAAUUCGAGACUUUUCAAUUGGGAAAAUUCUAAGUUGAAAUAAAAAAGAAUCGUUCAGAGAGUUUUCAAUAAGGAAAAUUCUAAAGAGAAACCUCUAAAGCUACAAAGACGUUAUUCUAAAACAGAGAAUGCAGAUACUUGCAACACAUUAACACUGGAGUUUGAUACCUUUGACAGCCGAGAUAAGUCAAUGAAUAACUAAAGGAGAAACUGGAAGCGUUGGAUACUUGAAAUCUGGGAUGCAAGGAGAAAUUGAGUAUGAGCUACAAAAUCAAGAACUGAAGUCAAGACUUAAAGGGGAAUGACGACAGGAAUAUUACUUUGAACAAGACCAUGUUGAUGAGGUAAGAAAAAGUUAAAAAAAAAUUCGUAGUAUGUUAUCGAGGUUUACUAGGGGUUUUUGUCGUUUGGCGAGGCAGGAAAACUGGAGUAUCCAGAACAAAAUCGUCAUUAAGAAUGCCGGAGACAACAAACCACAUUUUAAUUCCCAGUAUCAGUGAUAUUUCUUUAGGAUAUUAAAGAUUGAAGAACUUUCUUCCGUCUUAUGUUGCUCAUUGAUAAUUUGUUUCAAAAUCUGAGAAGCAUUAUGGUACGAUCAGAUAAUUGUCAUUGGCUUGGUGUCAGGCCAACGAUGUUGACUUCCUUCGUGGUUUACUCUGACAUUCAUAUAAAUUUGAAAUGUUCUUUCAGUAUUCAUGCUAUUCAUUAUUUGUAUGUUAAAUCGAUAUGUCAAUGGUGCUAAUGUGAGGAAACAAACGUACAACUUUCUGAAUUAGAGGUGAGUUAUUGUUAAACUAUUCAACUUGGACAACAUUUAUCACUAUGCAAGUUGAAAGCACCUUAUUUCUGCAGGAAAUGAUUCUGUGAAUAUUUUCUUGUUGUGUUUAAAAGAAACCUUAGGAGAGGAAACAAGACGCUGUGAAGAGUUUAAAUUUUACUUGAAGAACGAAAUCAGAGAAUCGAUGUAAGACAUACAGGAGUAGUGACAAAAAUUAACUUCAAUUUAAUUCCAUUACGAAGGAUUUUUUAUCAGAUGCGCGAAUUUUCUGCACGGUCAUCAUUGCGUUUGUGUUUUUAAUUAAUUCUUUUCCUUCCAUUUCUUGAGGAUGGUGCUAACAUCUUACACGAAUGACAAUACCGCUGAGAGGAUUCACUGCACUUAAUUCAGCAAUAUCAACGCCCGUAAGUACUCAUUAAUACUUCAUGUUAUUCAUGUAUAGUCAGUUAACUCAAGCUACUAUUGCCUGAUUUGCCUUCAGAAAUUCUUGGGAAAUUCUUCAUGGUUUAUUCAGGGUGAAAUAAUUUUUUUUGAUACUUUACUUUUCAGACAGGUGAAGGCCGACAUCUUUAUUGGGCUGUGGUUGUCUCGAUGUUCAAGAUGAGGGCAAUCUCGCCUUCAAAUGAAUGUUGACUUAUAUAACAAGAUGAAAACUUCAACAACAAAGAAACUUUAAACAAUAUGAGCAAGAUCUCCUCUUAAGCUACAAGGACAGGAUGUUAAAGUAGAGAAUGCAGAUACUUCUAAUACCUUACGGCCGGAGUUUGACACCUUUUGACAGCCGAGAUGAGUUAAUGAGUGACCAAAAGGAGAAAUUUGAAGCAUUAAAUACUUGAAAACUGGAAUUCAAGGAGAAAUACAGUUUGAUCAACAAAAUCAAGAACUGAAGUCAAUACUUAAAGGGGAAUGAUGUGAAGAAUAUUAUAACUUUGAAAAAACCUUGAUGAAGUGAGGUAAGAAAAAGUUAAAAAAUUCAUGGUUUGCUGUUUGCUAUCAUCAGUAUUUCGAGCUGAAUGCUCAAACAUUAUCGAGGUUUUCUAGGAGUCUUUGUCGCUUGUCGAGGCAGGAAAAGUGCAGUUCCCGGACAGAAAAUUCUGUUUCAAAAUGCACCAGACAACCAACCAGAACUCUCUGCAAUUUUGUUUGCAGAAGCAAGGAAAGAGUUUGAUAAUUUCAAACAGUUUGUAUAUGACAUGUCGUCUAAUUUCUCUCUUUCGAUACACCAAAUAAAACCUAAUUGCUAAUUAUAGGUUUUGUGUCAAAAGAGAGAAAUUAUACGAUAUAUGUCAAUUUACAAACUGUAUGAAGCCACAAUUCUAAGUAUUUCAAUUAUAUUUCUUGUAUUAGAAAAUGUCUGGAUAGUACAUGUCAAUGGUGCUGGUGUGCAACCUGCAACUUUCUCAAUUAGAGGUGAGUUAUCAUUACACAUACUACUCAAUUUGGACAACAUUUAUCACUAUCUGCAAGUUGAAAGAGCUUUAUUUCUGCAGGAAAUGAUUCUAUCAUUAUUUUCUUCCUUUGUUUUAAAGAAACAUCAGGAGAGGAGAAAGAAUCCAUAAAGAGUUUGAAGUUUACUUGAAGAACAACAUCAGAGAAGAGAUGUAACUAUGUAAGUCGUACAUUAUUGGUGACAAAAAAGAACUUCACUCUAAUUCGACCAGAUGGAUUUUUGUCACAUAAACAAAUUUCUGUAGGGUCAUGCAUCAUCGCCUUGGUGAUUUAAUUGAUUAUUUUCCUUCCAUUUCUUAUUGAUUAUCCAUUGAUUAUCGGGAAAACGCAAUGCUUCAGGGUGAUUCUUGCUGGGUAUUCCGCAUGGUUUAUUCAGGGUGAAAUAAUUCUUUAAUACUUUACUUUCCAGACAGGUGAAGGCCGACAUCUUUACUGGCCUAUGGUUGUUGUCUCGACAUUCAAGAUGAGAGCAUCCACCUUCAAAUGAAUGUGACUUAUAUAACAAGGAUGAAAACAUCAACGGGAAUUAAAAACAAUGUGAACAACAGAAACCUCCUCUAAAGCUACAAAGACAGGAUGUUAAUACAGAUACUUGCAACACAUUAAGACUGGAGUUUGACACCUUUUGACAGCCGAGAUAGGUUAAUGAGUGACCGAAGGGAGAAACCGCACGCAUUAAAUACUUCAAGUGAAAACUGGAAUGCAAGGAGAAAUACAGUUUGAUAUUCAAAAUCAAGAACUGAAGUCAAGACUUACAGGGGAAUGAUGACAAGAAUGUUACAACUUUGAAAAAGACCUUGAUGAGGUGAAAAAAAGUUUAUUAAUUCAUGGUUUGGUGUUUCCUAUCAUUGGAGCUGUAUUCUUAUGCAAACAUUAUGGAGGUUUGCUAGGGGUCUUUCUCGCUUGGCGAAUGGUGAGGCAGGAAAACUGUAGUACCCAGAGACAAAAUCCUGUUUUAAAGUGCAGGAGACAACCAACCAUAACUCUACUGAGCUUCAAUUAUAUUUCUUGUAUUAGAAAACGUCUGGAUAGUACAUGUCAAAUGGUGCUAGUGUGCAACCUGCAACUUUCUGAAGGUGAGUUAUCAUCAAACUAUUCAACUUGGACAACAUUUAUCACUAUCUGCAAGUUGAAAGCACUUUAUUUCUGCAGGAAAUGACUCUGUAAAUAUUUUCUUGUUUUGUUUAAAAGAAACAUUAGGAGAGGAAACAAGACACUGUGAAUUAAAUUUUACUUGAAGAACGACAUCAGAGAAUCGGUUCGAAGGAUUUUUUAUCAGAUGCGCGAAUUUCAGGACAGUUAUCAUUGCCUUGGUGUUUUUAAUGAAUUAUUUUCCUUCCAUUUCUUCAGGAUGGCAUUAACAUUAUAGACGAAGGACAAUUCCGCUGAGAGGAUUCACUGCACUCUAUGAUUCAGCAAUAUCAAUGCCCGUAAGUACUCAUUAAUACUUCAUGUUAUUCAUGUAUAGUCAGUUAACUCAAGCUAUUAUUGCCUGAUUUUGCCUUCUUGGGAAAUUCUUCAUGGUUUAUUCAGGGUGAAAUAAUUCUUUAAUACUUUACUUUUCAGACAGGUGAAGGCCGACAUCUUUACUGGGCUGUGGUUGUUGUCUCGACGUUCAAGAUGAGAGCAUCUACCUUCAAAUGAAUGUUGACUUAUAUAACAAGAUGAAAACUUCAACAACCAAAAAACGAAGAAACUUUAAAACAAUAUGAGGAAAAUUGACCUCAUCUUAAGCUACAAGGACAGGUGUUAAAGUAGAGAAUGCAGAUACUUCCAAUACCUUACGGCCGGAGUUUGACGCCUUUGACAGCCGAGAUAAGUUAAUGAGUGACCAAUGGGAGAAACUGGAUACAUUAAAUACUUGAAAACUGGAAUGCAAGGAGAAAUACAGUAUGAUCUACAAAAUCAAGAACUGCAAGACUAUUACAACUUUGAAAAAACCUUGAUGAAGUAAGGUAAGAAAAAGUUUAAAAAUUCAUGGUUUGGUGUUUGCUAUCAUCGGGACUUGGUGCUGAAUCCUCAAACUUUAUGGAGGGUUCUAGAGGUCUUUCUCGCUUGGCGAAGCAGGAAAACUGUAGUACCUGGACAGAAAAUUGUUUCAAAAUGCACCAGACAACCAACCACAACUAUUGACAAUUUUGUUCUCUGAAACAAGGAAAGAGUUAUAUAAUUUCAAACAGUUCGUAUAUAUGACAUGUUGUCUAAUUUCGCUCUUUCGACACACCAAAUGAAACCGAAUUGCUAAUUGUAGGUUUUGUUUUGUGUGUCAAAAGAGAGGAAUUAUACGAUAUGUCACUUACAAACUGUAUCAAGCCACAAUCUAAGUAUUUGAAUCAUAUUUCUUGUACUAGAGAAUGUCUGGAUAGUACAUGUCAAUACUGUUGUAGAACCUGGAACUUUCUGAAUUAGAUGUGAGUUAUCGUUAAACUAUUAACUGGAAGCAUUAAAUAUUUGAAAACUGGAACGCAAGGAGGAAUACAGUUUCAUCUACGAAAUCGAGAACUGAAGUCAAGAUUUACAGGGGAAUGAUGACAAGAAUAUUACAACUUUGAAAAAGACCUUGAUGAGGUAAGAAAAAGUUUAAGAAUUCAUGGUUUGGUGUUUGCUAUCAUCAGUAGUAGUUGGAGCUGUAUUCUCAUGCAAAUGUUGUGGAGGUUUGCUGGGGAUCUGUCUCGCUUGGCGAGGAAGAAAAAGUGUAGUACGCGGAGACAAAAUGCUGUUUUAAAGUGCAGGAGACAACCAACCACAACUCUACUUCAAUUAUAUUUCUUGUACUAGAAAAUGUCUGGAUAUUGCAAGUCCAUGGUGCUGUGUGCCACGUACAACUUUCUGAAUUAGAGGUGAGUUAUCGUUAAACUAUUCAACUUGGACAACAUUUAUCACUAUCUGCAAGUUGAAAGCACUUUAUUUCUGCAGGAAAUGAUUCUAUAAAUAUUUUCUUGCUUUGUUUAAAAGAAACAUUAGGAGACGAAAGAAGUCUCCAUAAAGAGUUUAAAGUUUACUUGAAGGACAACAUCAUUGAAGAGAUGUAAGUCGUACAUUAUUGGUGACAAAAAUGAACUUCAACCUAAUUUGACCAGAAGGUUUUUUGUCACAUACACGAAUUUCUGCAUAUUUUUCUUCCAUUUCUUCAGGAUGGUGGCUAACAUCUCAGACGAAGGACAAUCCCGCUGAAAGGAUUCCCUGCAGUCUAUUCGGUUAAAUCAACGCCUGUAAGUAUCCAUUAAUACAUCCAAUUAUCUCUCUAAUGUGCAUUCAGCACAGUACGUGAACGCUGUCUCGCUUGUCACUCGUCGUGAACAUUUGUAUUCUUGAACUGAAAAAUCAAGAAUAAAGAUGGCGAACUGACGCUAAAUUAACCUGAAGUGGGACCUCACUUUGUGGCAUAGUACAGCAAGAUAUUUGUUGUCUUGAGCAGAAUUUGCUCUACCCAUUGAAGUAUCGAGUCAACGGGGAUCCAAUAUCAUUCUACAUUAUGGUUGAGUUUGUUUUGACACUAUGGGUGUGUCAAUCUGUGUGUUGAUUUGUUGUAUCUUUGUAUUUUUAGUGGUUUGCUAGCUCGCCUAUUGUGUGGUCAGACAAGAGGACGGUGGCCUAUCUUGUUGUAUUUAUUGUUCAUACAUUCUGUUCUACUUGUCUGUUUGUAUUCUCUAUACGCAUGCAGCUUAAUUUGCAACAUACAAUGACAAAGACAUUGAAUGUCAAAAUUGUUAAUUAAUAAGCGAGCAAAUUAUUGUUAUUUAAAUGACUUAAUGUGUAAUAAAUUAUUCGCAC